UACGGGGGGAGCAAGCGUUGUUCGGAUUACUGGGCGUAAAGGGCGCGUAGGCGGUCGUGACAAGUCACUUGUGAAAUCUCCGGGCUUAACUCGGAACGGUCAAGUGAUACUGUCGGACUAGAGUACAGAAGGGGCAACUGGGAAUUCUCGGGUGUAGCGGUGAAAUGCGUAGAUAUCGAGAGGAACACCUGCGGCGAAGGCGGGUUGCUGGGCUGAUACUGACGCUGAGGCGCGAAAGCCAGGGGAGCGAAACGGGG
rnacentral:rRNA from 1 species